rnacentral:rRNA from 1 species
AUGCAGUCGAACGAGGCGGAGGGGGCAACUCCUUCCGUCGAGUGGCGGACGGGUGAGUAACACGUGGGUAACCUGCCCGGAAGUGGGGAAUACCUCGGGGAAACUCGAGCUAAUUCCGCAUGACAUCUUCGGGACGAAAGUCCUGACGAUCAAAGCGGGGUCGCAAGACCUCGCGCUACCGGAUGGGCCCGCGCCCGAUUAGCUAGUUGGUGAGGUAACGGCUCACCAAGGCUUCGAUCGGUAACCGGCCUGAGAGGGCGAUCGGUCACACCGGAACUGAGACACGGUCCRGACUCCUACGGGAGGCAGCAGUGGGGAAUCUUGCGCAAUGGGCGAAAGCCUGACGCAGCAACGCCGCGUGGARGAUGAAGGCCCUUGGGUUGUAAACUCCUGUCGGCUGGGAAGAAAUCAUACGGUGYUAAUACCACCGUGUGUUGACUGUACCAGCAAAGGAAGCCCCGGCUAACUCUGUGCCAGCAGCCGCGGUAAUACAGAGGGGGCCAGCGUUAUUCGGAAUUAUUGGGCGUAAAGGGCGCGUAGGCGGCCAUGCGUGUCUUCCGUGAAAUCCCUCGGCUUAACUGAGGACGUGCGGAANAAACUGCAAGGCUCGAGUCCGG